UUUCCUCUAUUUCAGAGGAAACUC
rnacentral:snRNA from 1 species